GGGCCCGCACAAGCGGUGGAGUAUGUGGUUUAAUUCGAUGCAACGCGAAGAACCUUACCAGGGUUUGACAUCCUGCGAAUCUCUUGGAAACAGGAGAGUGCCUUCGGGAACGCAGUGACAGGUGCUGCAUGGCUGUCGUCAGCUCGUGUCGUGAGAUGUUCGGUUAAGUCCGGCAAACGAGCGCAACCCACAUCUUUAGUUGCCAGCAUUUAGUUGGGCACUCUAGAGAGACUGCCGGUGAUAAACCGGAGGAAGGUGUGGAUGACGUCAAGUCAUCAUGCCCCUUACAUCCUGGGCUACACACGUACUACAAUGCUACGGACAAAGGGCUGCAAGUUCGCGAGGACAAGCAAAUCCCAUAAACCGUGGCUCAGUUCAGAUCGUAGGCUGCAACUCGCCUACGUGAAGGCGGAAUCGCUAG
rnacentral:rRNA from 1 species